GAUGAACGCUAGCGGCAGGCUUAACACAUGCAAGUCGAGGGGCAUCACGGGUAGCAAUACCUGGUGGCGACCGGCGCAAGGGUGCGUAACGCGUGAGCAACAUGCCCUAUACAGGGGGAUAAUCCAGGGAAACUUGGUCUAAUAUCCCAUAGCAUUUAGAGGUGGCAUCACCAUUAAAUUAAAGCUUCGGUGGUAUAGGAUUGGCUCGCGUGACAUUAGCUAGAUGGUGGGGUAACGGCUCACCAUGGCUAUGAUGUCUAGGGGUUCUGAGAGGAAGACCCCCCACACUGGGACUGAGACACGGCCCAGACUCCUACGGGAGGCAGCAGUGAGGAAUAUUGGACAAUGGAUGGAAAUCUGAUCCAGCCAUGCCGCGUGCAGGAAGACGGCCCUAUGGGUUGUAAACUGCUUUUAUAUGGGAGCAAUAAGGUCUACGAGUAGACCGAUGAGAGUACCAUAUGAAUAAGCAUCGGCUAAC
rnacentral:rRNA from 1 species